rnacentral:rRNA from 1 species
UACGUAGGUGACAAGCGUUGUCCGGAUUUACUGGGCGUAAAGAGCGCGCAGGCGGUCGGUCAAGUCGAGUGUGAAAGCCCCCGGCUCAACUGGGGAGGGUCAUUCGAUACUGCUCGACUCGAAGGCAGGAGAGGGAAGUGGAAUUCCCGGUGUAGUGGUGAAAUGCGUAGAUAUCGGGAGGAACACCAGUGGCGAAGGCGACUUCCUGGCCUGUUCUUGACGCUGAGGCGCGAAAGCUAGGGGAGCAAACGGG